AAACAAGCCCUUUUCAGGGCUACAAACUAAGUCUUUAAGAGAAAU
rfam:Drosophila ficusphila Contig4277, whole genome shotgun sequence